CAAUCUAUACGGUGAAACUGCGAAUGGCUCAUUAAAUCAGUUAUCGUUUAUUUGAUAGUACCUUACUACUUGGAUAACCGUGGUAAUUCUAGAGCUAAUACAUGCUAAAAACCCCGACUUCGGGAGGGGUGUAUUUAUUAGAUAAAAAACCAAUGCCCCUCGGGGCUCCUUGGUGAUUCAUGAUAACUUAACGAAUCGCAUGGCCUUGCGCCGGCGAUAGUUCAUUCAAAUUUCUGCCCUAUCAACUUUCGAUGGUAGGAUAGUGGCCUACCAUGGUAUCAACGGGUAACGGGGAAUUAGGGUUCUAUUCCGGAGAGGGAGCCUGAGAAACGGCUACCACAUCCAAGGAAGGCAGCAGGCGCGCAAAUUACCCAAUCCCGACGCGGGGAGGUAGUGACAAUAAAUACUGAUACAGGGCUCUUUUGGGUCUUGUAAUUGGAAUGAGUACAAUUUAAAUCCCUUAACGAGGAACAAUUGGAGGGCAAGUCUGGUGCCAGCAGCCGCGGUAAUUCCAGCUCCAAUAGCGUAUAUUAAAGUUGUUGCAGUUAAAAAGCUCGUAGUUGAACCUUGGGCCUGGCUGGCCGGUCCGCCUCACCGCGUGCACUGGUCCGGCCGGGCCUUUCCUUCUGGGGAGCCGCAUGCCCUUCGCUGGGCGUGCCGGGGAACCAGGACUUUUACUUUGAAAAAAUUAGAGUGUUCAAAGCAGGCCUAUGCUCGAAUACAUUAGCAUGGAAUAAUGAAUAGG
rnacentral:rRNA from 1 species